GUGGUGGAGGCUGGAAAGUUCAAAUUCAUGGCCCUGGCAGGUUCAGUGUCUGAUGAGAUCCCACUUAUUCAUGGGAAGCCGUCUUCUCACUAUGACCUCACAUGGAGGAGUUAACUAGCAGGGUCUAUGGUGUAACUGUUGAGAGGAUAGCUGAAGUGGAAUGAACAACAAGAUUGUUGGGGUCAAAGACAUCAAGAAAUGGAGAGUCCAAGCUGUUGGAAUAGUGACUGGGCAGCCGCUCACCUCCCUGGAAGUCUCUGUGCUCCCUUUGUCCAUGUCCACGUCUGUGCUCACUUUGGCUGCUGCAUUAUUUCUGGAAACUCCUUCCAUGAGCAUGGAGUGGUAUGACAUUUUAAAUGACUUGCAUGGGAGCAGUCACUACUACUUUGUGUCUGUGUUGUGAAUGACUUUUCCAUGGUGAAAAACCACACCGCCAUGAUCCAUUUCUCUGUAACAAUGGCAUUUUGCAGCAGUAGCUUGAGAUGCCAAUCCUCUUCAAGAUCAGUACGAGAUGGGCUGUAAUCUUCUCCUCUUUAUUAAUUUUUUUGUCCUUGUCAAACUCCUUUAAUAGUAAUAUCUUGACAAUAAUGUGCAUUGUCAUUUCUUAACAUGAAGGAGAGUGAUAUAAAGUUCCUGUGGCAUUAUUCUUGGAAAGGUAAGAAAGUAGAACUUGGGAUUUCACCGGUUGCUUGUGUUGAUCAAUUUAAUCACUCUAGAAAAAUUAUUUUUAAUAAUGAAAAAUUGU